rnacentral:rRNA from 1 species
UACGUAGGGUCCAAGCGUUGAUCGGAAUUACUGGGCGUAAAGCGUGCGCAGGCGGUUGCGCAAGACCGAUGUGAAAUCCCCGAGCUUAACUUGGGAAUUGCAUUGGGGACUGCGCGGCUAGAGUGUGUCAGAGGGGGGUAGAAUUCCACGUGUAGCAGUGAAAUGCGUAGAGAUGUGGAGGAAUACCGAUGGCGAAGGCAGCCCCCUGGGAUAACACUGACGCUCAUGCACGAAAGCGUGGGGAGCAAACAGG